GCCUUGGUAGCUGAUUCUGUAGAGCAUAAUACUCUUAAUCUUAGGGUCAUGAGUUCAAGCCUCAUGUUGGGCA